UGGGAAACAUACUUCUUUAUGUGCCCAUAUGGACCUGCUAAGCUAUGGAAUGUAAAGAAGUAUGUAUUUCA
rnacentral:pre_miRNA from 2 species